rnacentral:rRNA from 1 species
GAUAAACGCUGGCGGCGUGCCUAACACAUGCAAGUCGAACGCUCUCUGGCAACAGAGGGAGUGGCGGACGGGUGAGUAACACGUGGGUACCUACCCCAAGGUGAGGAAUACCGGCGAGAAAUCGCCGACAAUACCGCAUACGUUUCCUCGGAAACAAAGCUCGCAAGGGCGCCAUGGGAAGGGCCUGCGGCCGAUUAGCUAGUUGGUGAGGUAAAAGCCUACCAAGGCGACGAUCGGUAGCUGGUCUGAGAGGACGAUCAGCCACACUGGGAUUGAGAACGGCCCAGACUCCUACGGGGGGCAGCAGUGAGGAAUUUUCGUCAAUGGGGGCAACCCUGAACGAGCAACGCCGCGUGCAGGAAGAAAGUUUUCGGAUCGUGAACUGCUUUUCUCUGGGACGAGCAAGGACGGUACCAGAGGAAUCAGCCCCGGCUAACUACGUGCCAGCAGCCGCAGUAAUAC